rnacentral:rRNA from 1 species
AUGUUGCCGAACCGGCCCAAUGAGGAGAAAGAAAUGCCGCGCCGCACCUUAUCCCCAACUUCCCCGAUCUCGCCGCCGGCCCGCCCUGCCCAGCACGCCGCCCGCUUGCCGUCCCCGACGCGCCGCCGCCCGUGCACCUUCCCCGGCGCGCCGCCGGCCCGCCUUCCCCAGCUCGCCGCUGUCCCCACCUCCCUCCGGCGGCAGAAGCGCUGCCGCCCCCAUCUCCCUCCCCGGCAGACGCACCUCCGCCCUCAGCUCCCUCCCCGACAGACGCGCCGUCGUGACUCCACCUCCUGGCUGGGCCGCCGCGAGCCUCCACCUCCCGGCUUCCCGGCGCCGCCCCGUUUGCCUCCUCCCGUGGCCCCGCUCAAUCCAGCCCCGCCGGCUUCCCCGUGCGAGCCAACCAGGCCAGACGGCCACCCCCGCAAGCACUUGGCCUCGGUGUUUGCUUGGUGGAGACUAGGAGCAGCGACAGAGACGCCGCCCCGAGGCGGAAUCCCUGCGUCCGCUUGGUUCCGUCCACGGCAGCACAUCACCUCUCCCCGUCAUCCACCUGCCAAGUUCAUGUCGACAGCUUCCAUUUCAACCGUUGAAGCUGCAGAUGGUGCACGACAUGCAGCAGUGUCGCCCCAACAGGCAUGCAACACCGACGACGGCAGGGUGUGGCGUGCGUCUGUCCGGCAUGCUGGGCGUGGUGCCGAGGGGGCUGCAGUUUGA